UACGAAGGGGGCUAGCGUUGUUCGGAAUCACUGGGCGUAAAGCGCUCGUAGGCGGAUCUUUAAGUCAGGGGUGAAAUCCCGAGGCUCAACCUCGGAACUGCCUUUGAUACUGGGGAUCUCGAGUCCGGCAGAGGUGUGUGGAACUCCGAGUGUAGAGGUGAAAUUCGUAGAUAUUCGGAAGAACACCAGUGGCGAAGGCGACACACUGGGCCAUUACUGACGCUGAGGCGCGAAAGCGUGGGGAGCAAACAGG
rnacentral:rRNA from 1 species